rnacentral:rRNA from 1 species
AGGAACAUGUGGUUUAAUCGAUGAUACGCGAGGAACCUUACCUGGGCUUAAAUGUAGAGUGCAUUUUUUAGAGAUAGAAAUUCCCUUCGGGGCUUUCUGCAAGGUGCUGCAUGGUUGUCGUCAGCUCGUGCCGUGAGGUGUCGGGUUAAGUCCCAUAACGAGCGCAACCCUUAUCGUUAGUUGCCAGCUGGUAAAGCAGGGGACUCUAGCGAAACUGCCACCGUAAGGUGAGAGGAAGGUGGGAUGACGUCAAAUCAGCACGGCCCUUAUGUCCAGGGCUACACACGUGUUACAAUGGCCGGCACAGAGGGCAGCUACCUGGUGACAGGAUGCUAAUCUCGAAAACCGGUCUCAGUUCGGAUCGAAGUCUGCAACUCGACUUCGUGAAGCUGGAUUCGCUAGUAAUCGCGCAUCAGCCAUGGCGCGGUCGAAUACGUUCCCGGGCCUU